GCACUUAGGGCUUGUUUGGUUCAUCCAUUUUGGGUAUGGAAUGGGAAUCGGUUUGAUCAAAUCCGGUUAAUUUUGUUUGGUUCGCAUGAAUCGGUUUGGAAUUCCUAUUCCGGACUGGAAUGGGAAUGGCCCAUUAGCCUUCAACUUGAUUCUGGUCUUCUAGCCCGGAUUGAGAUUUCAUUCCGAAAGCCCACUAAGUCCUCGAAGCCCAUGUGACCAUCUCACCCUCCUUCUCUUCACCCCUUUCUCAUCAAAAAAAAAAAAAUCUAUCCUCUCUCAAAACCCUAUCCCUAACCCACAUGAAUAAAAGUUUUUAAAAAUAAAUUUGAUUUUUUUUUUGAAAAACUUAUUAGAGAAUAGUAUUAUAUUUUUCAUAAAUUUUAAAUAAUAUAAAUUUAUAUUUGAGAGUAAAAUUAGUAUUAUAGUAUCCUAUAAUUUUUUUAGUUUAUACGAACCAAACAAUGAAAUGUGAAUAACUCAUUCCAAUUCCGAAUCCACAAAUAAACCAAACAUCCUGGGGGAGUGGGCCAUUCCAAUUACCAUUCCAAUUCAUUCCCAUUCUAUUAUCCAUUCCAAUUCCACCCUUGAACCAAACAAGCCCUUAAAUUUAUGUGUAAAACCCAUAAACUCCAUUUUUCUUGAAAAUCGUGCAUCAAAUCUAAAAUCCGUCAGUACCAUUGGUUCCAAAAUAGCUGAACCAUUAAAAAUGAGCUAUUGGACUGCUAUGAACGAAGUCUGAUACGCGCCGGAAGCCAACUCUACACCGUGGCCUCUCCGGAAAAACGGGUUACUAUUCACUUUAAGUCAUUACUAA
rnacentral:lncRNA from 1 species